rnacentral:rRNA from 1 species
UACAGAGGGUGCAAGCGUUAAUCGGAAUUACUGGGCGUAAAGCGUGCGUAGACGGUUAUGUAAGUCGGGUGUGAAAGCCCCGGGCUCAACCUGGGAAUUGCAUUCGAGACUGUGUAGCUAGGGUACGGAAGAGGGAAGCGGAAUUUCAGGUGUAGCGGUGAAAUGCGUAGAUAUCUGAAGGAGCACCAGUGGCGAAAGCGGCUUCCUGGUCCAGUACCGACGUUCAGGCACGAAAGCGUGGGGAGCAAACAGG